GCAUCGGUGGUUUAGUGGUAAAAUUAGCCGUUGCCAAGCCUUUCAGGCCCAGUUUCGGCUAGCCCCGGGUUCGAUUCCCGGCCGAUGCA